rnacentral:rRNA from 1 species
AGCCCAGCACCGAAUCCUUCACCAUUCCGGUGACAGGAAAUGUGGUGUUUAGGCCGUGCUUUGUCCUGAUACGUCUCUCCUCAAGUCCACUUGAUUGUGGCCCCCGGCCCAGAGAGGGUGUAAGGCCCGUGGAGGCGAGAUGUUCAGUGCCUGGUGCGUCCUUAGAGUCGGGUUGUUUGGGAAUGCAGCCCUAAGCGGGUGGUAAACUCCAUCCAAGGCUAAAUACUAGCACGAGUCCGAUAGCGAAGAAUGUACCGCGAGGGAAGGUUGAAAAGAACUUUGAAGAGAGAGUUCAAGAGUACGUGAAACCGCUGAGAGGCAAACUGGUGGAACUGAAAUGGUCCCGAGGAAUUCAGCCGUUGUUGGUUGUACAGCCUGUGGUGUCUGAUCUCACGACUGCGCUACUGGGUGACGCUUUCAUCAUCGGUGCACUUUCCUCGUUCUGGGCCCGACCACGACCGGUGAGCUGCUCUCUCCAUCGUGUUUGGAAGGUAGCGCCAUCUUCGGAGGGCGUGUUAUAGACUUGCACAUGGAGCAGUACGGCACACUGGACGAUAGUGCCUGCCUUCCGGCUCAUAUGGGGGCCGUUUUACGAGCGAAUUUCGGUGUCACUACUUCGGUAGAGGCAUUGAGUUCUGUUUGCAUUACGGUUCUCCGCUAUGAUUGGCACUGGUAAGUCUGUGGUUGUGAAGUAGGUAGUCCACCUGACCCGUCUUGAAACACGGACCAAGGAGUCUAACAUGUGCGCGAGUCAUUGGGUUUACGAAACCUAAAGGCGCAGUGAAGGUGAAGAUCUGUUUUUGGCAGGUUGAGGUGGGAUGCUGGGUCACGCGCCCAGCCGCACUACCGGCCCGUUCUACAUGUAUCUCAUGAGAGCGGAGCAAGAGCGUACACGUUGGGACCCGAAAGAUGGUGAACUAUGCUUGCGCAGGUCGAAGCCAGA